UUAUCAUUUAGAGGAAGGAGAAGUUGUAGAAAGGUUUUUGUAGGUGAAACUAUGGAUGUAUCAUUAUUGAGACUCAGAAUAAUUGGAAGACAUGCAAACUCAAAAUGGACAUCAAAGGAGCGGGCGGGCACACUCUUCCCUUCGGCCCAUCGCCCCUCGACCCACAGUCGCAUCGUGUGGCAUGGCUUGACAGACAGAUGACACAUCUCAACGUAGUGCACCCUAAGGAAUGAUCAUCAAAAUAGGCAUCCACCCUCACCUGUGCGAUGGGGUGGCACCUCGCUCUACUCAAAAUUGUACGACUCUCGGCAAUGGAUAUCCCAGCUCUAACAUCGAUGAAGAACAUAUCAAAAUGUGAUUACUUAGUGUGAAUUGUAGAAUACCAUGAACCAUUGAGUAUUUGAAUGCAACUUGCACUUGAGACCAUCCGGCCGAGGGCAUGCAAGCUUGGGCGUCACGCAUUAUGUUGCUCCACGGGCCCCGAGGGACAGAUGCGAAGAUUGGCCCUCGCGUGCCAGCACGGCAAGCCUACAGGCACAACGAGUAGUGGAUAAAAUCGUAAACUCCGCACAUAUGAGUUGAACACAAUGCCCCCUGGUCCCAAUGGCAUAGGGCCCUUUGGAACCCCAAAGGGUGCACGAGCCCUCCCUUGGGAUGGGUGAGCCGUAUCACACUACGACCCUAGGUCAAAUGGGGCCACCCACCGAGUUUAUGCAUAUCAAUAA
rnacentral:misc_RNA from 1 species